CAGCCGUAAACUAUGCUCGCUAGGUGUCAGGCAUGGCGCGACCGUGUCUGGUGCCGCAGGGAAGCCGUGAAGCGAGCCACCUGGGAAGUACGGCCGCAAGGCUGAAACUUAAAGGAAUUGGCGGGGGAGCACAUCAACGGGUGGAGCCUGCGGUUUAAUUGGACUCAACGCCGGACAACUCACCGGGGACGACAGCAAUAUGUAGGCCAGGCUGAAGACCUUGCCUGAAUCGCUGAGAGGAGGUGCAUGGCGUAGACGUCU
rnacentral:rRNA from 1 species